rnacentral:rRNA from 1 species
CCUACGGGCGGCAGCAGUGGGGAAUAUUGGACAAUGGGCGAAAGCCUGAUCCAGCCAUGCCGCGUGUGUGAAGAAGGCCUUCGGGUUGUAAAGCACUUUCAGUGGGGAAGAAAGCCUUGGGGCUAAUACCCUCGAGGAAGGACAUCACCCACAGAAGAAGCACCGGCUAACUCCGUGCCAGCAGCCGCGGUAAUACGGAGGGUGCGAGCGUUAAUCGGAAUUACUGGGCGUAAAGCGCGCGUAGGCGGUCUGAUAAGCCGGUUGUGAAAGCCCCGGGCUCAACCUGGGAACGGCAUCCGGAACUGUCAGGCUAGAGUGCAGGAGAGGAAGGUAGAAUUCCCGGUGUAGCGGUGAAAUGCGUAGAGAUCGGGAGGAAUACCUGUGGCGAAGGCGGCCUUCUGGACUGACACUGACGCUGAGGUGCGAAAGCGUGGGUAGCAAACAGGAUUAGAUACCCUAGUAGUC